rnacentral:rRNA from 1 species
UACGAAGGGGGCUAGCGUUGCUCGGAAUCACUGGGCGUAAAGCGCACGUAGGCGGAUUGCUAAGUCAGGGGUGAAAUCCUGGAGCUCAACUCCAGAACUGCCUUUGAUACUGGCAACCUUGAGUCCGGGAGAGGUGAGUGGAACUGCGAGUGUAGAGGUGAAAUUCGUAGAUAUUCGCAAGAACACCAGUGGCGAAGGCGGCUCACUGGCCCAUAACUGACGCUGAGGUGCGAAAGCGUGGGGAGCAAACAGGG